rnacentral:rRNA from 1 species
GGGCCCGCACAAGCGGUGGAGUAUGUGGUUUAAUUCGAUGCAACGCGAAGAACCUUACCAGGGUUUGACAUCCUGCGAAUCUCUUGGAAACAGGAGAGUGCCUUCGGGAACGCAGUGACAGGUGGUGCAUGGCUGUCGUCAGCUCGUGUCGUGAGAUGUUGGGUUAAGUCCCGCAACGAGCGCAACCCUUGUCAUUAGUUGCUACGCAAGGGCACUCUAAUGAGACUGCCGGUGACAAACCGGAGGAAGGUGGGGACGACGUCAAGUCCUCAUGGCCCUUAUGGGUAGGGCUUCACACGUCAUACAAUGCUACGGACAAAGGGCAGCAAGUUCGCGAGGACAAGCAAAUCCCAUAAACCGUGGCUCAGUUCAGAUCGUAGGCUGCAACUCGCCUACGUGAAGGCGGAAUCGCUAGUAAUCGC